rnacentral:lncRNA from 1 species
CCAAGCCCAGUGUGUGUGGCCCUUCCAAGCCCGGUGUGUGUUGCCUUUCAAGCCAGUGUGUGUUGGCCCGUUUCAAGCCCAGUGUGUGUUGGCCCGUUCCAAGCCCAGUGUGUGUUGGCCCGUUUCAAGCCCAGUGUGUGUUGGCC